CUCCUCAGUUCAUCUUCUCACCAUGAGGCUCCCUGCUCAGCUCCUGGGGCUGCUAAUGCUCUGGGUCCCUGGGACCAGCGGGGAUAUUGUGAUGACUCAGACUCCACUUUCCCUGCCCGUCACCCCUGGAGAGCCGGCCUCCAUCUCCUGCAGGUCUAGUCAGAGCCUCUUGGAUAGUGAUGAUGGAAACACCUAUUUGGAUUGGUUCCUGCAGAAGCCAGAGCAGUCUCCACAGCUCCUGAUCUAUGAGGUUUCCAACUGGGCCUCUGGAGUCCCAGACAGGUUCAGUGGCAGUGGGUCAGGCACUGAUUUCACACUGAAAAUCAGCCAGGUGGAGGCUGAGGAUGUUGGGGUUUAUUACUGCAUGCAAGGUAUACAGCUUCCUCC
rnacentral:lncRNA from 1 species